UACCAGCAGCCCCGAGUUGUCGGGACGAUUAUUGGGCCUAAGCAUCCGUAGCCUGUUCUGCAAGUCCUCCGUUAAAUCCAAGCCGCUCAACGGGUUGGGCUGCGGAGGAUACUACGUGGCUAGGAGGCGGGAGAGGCAAGCGGUACUCGGAGGUGGGAGGGGUAAAAUCCUUUGAUCCUUGGAAAGACCACCAGUGGCGAAGGCGGCGUUGACC
rnacentral:rRNA from 1 species